AUGGCGACAGCUCCCACUGCUGCUUUCAGAGCCCUCAUGGAUGGAGUGACAAGAUCUCCCCAGAGUCCCCGACCCCAGUGAACUCCUUAUUAGAGAGGCUGCCUUCCCCGUGAUGGUGAAUGACAAGGGCCAGGUGCUCAUUGCUGCCUUCUGCUACGGCCAAGGCUGCCUCGUGGUUGUGUCCCAUGAGGGCUACCUGUUGCAUGCUGGCUUGGCUCCAUUUCUCCUCAAUACAGUGAGCUGGCUCUGUUCUUGUCCUGGGGAUCCCGUAGGAGUGCACCCAUCCUUGGCAGCACUAGGAAAUGUCGUGCAGACUGUGGUGUUGAGGCAUAGAUUGAGCCAGAACCAGGACUGUCCUGGGGGUUAACGGCAUCAGUGCCUUCGAUGACACCAUGACUGCAACGCUGAUCCAGUCUGGGACAUGGAGAGGCUUACUUAUCCGGGGCCAGGCCUGGUACUGGGUCAGCAAGCUCGGCCAUGACAAGGUGCUGUCCAGGUUCCUUGGGAUCAAGGUGACAAGUAUGGCUGGAGUGUACUUCCCCGACACCUGUGGGGACAGAGAGCUCUUCAAGGUCUCUUAAGAAGGUUCCAAGAUCCCACUCCAUGUCAGGUGUGGGGAGGAUGUCAGGCAGGACCAGCAGCAGCUCCUGGAGGGGAUCUCAGAGCUGGACAUCAGGACAGGGGGAGUCCCCUCACAGCUGCUGGUGCAUGGAGCCCUGGCCUUCCCUCUGGGGCUGGAUGCCUCACUCAACUGCUUUUUGGCAGCUGCUCGCUAUGGCCGGGGCCGUGUGGUCCUGGCUGCCCACGAGUGCCUGCUCUGUGCUCCCAAGAUGGGGUCCUUCUUGCUCAAUGCGGUGCACUGGCUGGCCAGAGGCCAGACAGGCAAAGUUGGGGUGAACACAAAUCUAAAAGAUCUGUGUCCCCUCCUAUCGGAACAUGGCCUGCAAUGCAGCCUGGAGCCUCAUCUGAACAGCAACUUGUGUGUCUACUGCUGCAAGGCGUACAGUGACAAGGAGGCAAAGCAGCUGCAGGAGUUUGUGGCCGAGGGUGGGGGGCUGCUGAUUGGGGGCCAGGCCUGGUGGUGGGCCUCCCAGAACCCUGGCCACUGCCCCUUGGCUGGCUUCCCUGGUAACGUCAUCCUCAACUGCUUUGGCCUCAGCAUCCUGCCUCAGACUCUCAAAGCAGGCUGUUUCCCCAUUCCCACCCCUGAGAUGAGAAGCUACCACUUCCGCAAGGCGCUCUCUGAAUUCCAGGCUAUCCUGAACCACGAGAAUGGGAACUUGGAAAAGAGCUGUCUGGCAAAGUUGAGAGUUGAUGGUGCAGCCUUCCUGCAGAUUCCUGCGGCGGGGAUCCCUGCUUACAUAUCCCUGCACAGGCUCCUGAGGAAGAUGCUACGAGGGUCGGGCCUCCCAGCUGUGAGCCGGGAAAAUCCAGUUGCCAGUGACUCCUAUGAGGCUGCCAUGCUCUCCCUGGCCACUGGGCUGGCUCACUCUGGAACUGACUGCUCCCAGCUGGCCCAGGGGCUUGGCAUCUGGACCUGCUCCUCUAGUUUGUACCCCUCAAAACACCCCAUCACUGUGGAGAUUGACGGAAUCAACCCAGGCAACAGUGAUUGCUGGGUAAGUACCGGGCUCUACCUCCUGGAAGGACAAAAUGCGGAAGUCUCACUGUCUGAAGUUGCUGCCUCUGCUGGCCUACGGGUACAGAUUGGCUGCCACACCGAUGACCUAACCAAGGCCAGGAAGCUAUCUCGAGCCCCCGUGGUGACUCAUCAAUGCUGUAUGGACAGGACUGAACGGUCAGUCUCCUGCCUCUGGGGCGGCCUCCUCUACGUCAUCGUGCCCAAGGGCAGCCAACUAGGUCCUGUGUCUGUCACUAUCAGGGGGGCUGUGCCUGCCCCAUACUAUAAGCUGGGUAAGACAUCACUAGAAGAGUGGAAGAGGCAGAUGCAGGAGGACCCGGCUCCCUGGGGAGAGCUGGCCACAGACAACAUCAUCCUGACAGUGCCAACCACAAACCUCCAAGCCCUGAAGGACCCUGAGCCUGUGCUCCGCCUCUGGGAUGAGAUGAUGGAGGCUGUGGCCAGGCUGGCGGCUGAGCCCUUCCCUCUCCGCCGUCCCGAGAGGAUUGUGGCUGAUGUGCAGAUCUCAGCUGGCUGGAUGCAUUCAGGAUACCCCAUCAUGUGCCACCUGGAGUCUGUGAAGGAGAUCAUCAACGAGAUGGACAUGAGAAGCAGGGGUGUGUGGGGCCCCAUCCAUGAGCUGGGCCACAACCAACAGCGGCAUGGAUGGGAGUUCCCCCCGCACACUACUGAGGCCACCUGCAACCUUUGGUCAGUCUACGUGCAUGAAACAGUCCUAGGGAUCCCCAGGGCUCAGGCCCACGAGGCUCUGAGCCCUCCAGAGCGAGAGAAGAGAAUCAAGGCCCACCUGGGAAAGGGAGCCCCUCUGUGUGACUGGAAUGUGUGGACAGCCCUGGAAACAUAUCUACAGGUACUGAGCAGAAAUUCUGGGAGAAGGGGAUGA